rnacentral:rRNA from 1 species
CCGGAUUUAUUGGGUUUAAAGGGAGCGCAGGCGGACCUUUAAGUCAGCUGUGAAAUACGGCGGCUCAACCGUCGAACUGCAGUUGAUACUGGAGGUCUUGAGUGCACACAGGGAUGCUGGAAUUCAUGGUGUAGCGGUGAAAUGCUCAGAUAUCAUGAAGAACUCCGAUCGCGAAGGCAGGCAUCCGGGGUGCAACUGACGCUGAGGCUCGAAAGUGCGGGUAUCAAACAGGAUUAGAUACCCUGGUAGUCCGCACAGUAAACGAUGAAUACUCGCGGUUUGCGAUACAAUGUAAGCCGCCAAGCGAAAGCGUUAAGUAUUCCACCUGGGGAGUACGCCGGCAACGGUGAAACUCAAAGGAAUUGACGGGGGCCCGCACAAGCGGAGGAACAUGUGGUUUAAUUCGAUGAUACGCGAGGAACCUUACCCGGGCUUGAACUGCAGGCGAACGAUUCAGAGAUGAUGAGGCCCUUCGGGGCGCCUGUGGAGGUGCUGCAUGGUUGUCGUCAGCUCGUGCCGUGAGGUGUCGGCUUAAGUGCCAUAACGAGCGCAACCCUCAUCCUCGUUUGCCAUCAGGUGAUGCUGGGCACUCCGGGGACACUGCCAUCGUAAGAUGUGAGGAAGGUGGGGAUGACGUCAAAUCAGCACGGCCCUUACGUCCGGGGCUACACACGUGUUACAAUGGGCGGUACAGAGGGCAGCCACUGCGCGAGCAGGAGCCAAUCCUCAAAGCCGUUCUCAGUUCGGACUGGAGUCUGCAACCCGACUCCACGAAGCUGGAUUCGCUAGUAAUCGCGCAUCAGCCAUGGCGCGGUGAAUACGUUCCCGGGCCUUGUACACACCGCCCGUCAAGCCAUGAAAGCCGGGGGCGCCUGAAGUCCGUGACCGUAAGGAGCGGCCUAGGGCGAAACUGGUAAUUGGGGCUAAGUCGUAACAAGGUAGCCGUACCGGAAGGUGCGGCUG